CUCCCCCAUGCAUGCUUAUCUGCUUGAGGGUGGCUCUAAUUAAUUUUGCUUUUGCUUUCUCUCUUUAGUGUGAAGUAGAGAACCACACGAGGUGGAGCUUGGGGGAGUAGCCGCGAAGCUCGGAUUCAACGUCGACAUCGCGCCGCGGAGCCGUUUGAGGAUACGGUUGCAGUCGUAGCAUCGCGAGGAGUUCUAGCGAGGGCGUGGUUUUCGCCGUCCUCGACGUCGCACCGGCGCUGGAUUCGCUGUCGAGCGUCGACCAUCAGUGUUUCGGCUCGUACUCGGCGUAGGAACGUCGGAUUUCGACGAGACUUGGUUCGUUGGAUUCAGGACUUCGAGAGGAAUCCACGAAGCCCUUAUUUGCUGAAUUUGUUGAAGGGCGAUUUCGAACUUGAGCUGGACACUCUGGUUUUUCCAGUGAAUUUGGGGAUUUUUGGUGACCUCCUCGCUGCCGGGGUUUAGCAAUCGAGAGCCUUCUGUUCCGGCUGCUGCAUCUUUCGAGACCGAUCGUGGCAAGGGCGUUGCGAGCUAGAGCCUUUCCAGACAAGUCGCAGAGUCACAGGAUCACCAGCUACAGGUAGUUGUAGUUUUUGAGUUCAUAUACAUAUUUUUGUUAUUUCUCGCUGGGCGAGCCUUUUGUACACCGGAAUUGGAUGUAUGUAUAGUGAACUUUUUUUUUUAUACUUCUGUUCAUUUUUU